UGAUUUCCUCCCUUCUGUAAUAAGCAGCCAAUGAGUUCUCACGGAAGGGGAUAAUUCUCACUGAAACUACAGAAUAAAGCCGUCCAGUUAAAAUCAAGGAACGGUUGUGCUCGUGGUUACUGAAGGGAGCUACAAGACCCUUAUCCGUUUCGAAUUCACCAACUGAAAGACGCUUGCCCUCUCCAUCAUAACUCCGUAAGUUUUCCCUCCCUGUGUAGAUCAAACGUCCUGCCUGUAAAUCCUGGGUAUGCCCACAUCAUUAAUGAAUAAGAUGUGUAGAAAAACUGUUUAUCCAUAGUUAAAGGCCUUUCAUAAAGAGGCUGUCCUGAUUUCAUGUGCCUCAUGUUUAACACGUAUUGCUUGUUACAGAAUACUACUGUUGUACAUCUAAUAUCCCCUAGCAGAUUUCGUUGCCUUUGCACAAAUUCUGUCAUGUUACUGUGGUCUUUUUAAAAGUCAAUAAAUAUGUGUGGAAAGUGUA